AUGACCCUACGGGGGGCAGCAGUGAGGAAUAUUGGUCAAUGGGCGAGAGCCUGAACCAGCCAAGUCGCGUGAAGGAUGACGGCCCUACGGGUUGUAAACUUCUUUUGUCAGGGAGCAAUUGGGUCCACGCGUGGGCUUAGCGAGAGUACCUGAAGAAAAAGCAUCGGCUAACUCCGUGCCAGCAGCCGCGGUAAUACGGAGGAUGCGAGCGUUAUCCGGAUUUAUUGGGUUUAAAGGGUGCGCAGGCGGCCUGUUAAGUCAGCGGUAAAAGCCCGGGGCUCAACCCCGGCGAGCCGUUGAAACUG
rnacentral:rRNA from 1 species